rnacentral:rRNA from 1 species
GAGUUUGAUCUUGGCUCAGGACGAACGCUGGCGGCGUGCCUAACACAUGCAAGUCGAGCGAGUGAAUCUCCUUCGGGAGUGAAGCUAGCGGCGGACGGGUGAGUAACACGUGGGCAACCUGCCUCAUAGAGGGGAAUAGCCUUCCGAAAGGAAGAUUAAUACCGCAUAAGAUUGUAGCUUCGCAUGAAGUAGCAAUUAAAGGAGCAAUCCGCUAUGAGAUGGGCCCGCGGCGCAUUAGCUAGUUGGUGAGGUAACGGCUCACCAAGGCGACGAUGCGUAGCCGACCUGAGAGGGUGAUCGGCCACAUUGGGACUGAGACACGGCCCAGACUCCUACGGGAGGCAGCAGUGGGGAAUC